UUCGAUGUGGUCCCGCACCACUUCCUUCCCUCUGACUCAGAGGGAGGUGGGUGCAAAGGAUGGGCUGUGGGGUGGACGUUCAACAAAGCCAAGGGGGUGCGUUCAGAGGGGGAAUUGAUCUGGAUAGGUUGGAUAGCCGGGCUGAAGCCAAUGGGAUGGGAUUCAACAAGACCAACUGCCGGGUCCUGCACUUUGGCCGCAAUAAGCCCAGGCAACGCUACAGGCUUGGGGCAGAGUGGCUGGAAGGCUGUGUAGAGGAAAUGGAGCUGGGGGUGUUGACUGACGCCAGACUGAACAUGAGCCAGCAGUGUGCCCAGGUGGCCAAGAAGGCCAAUGG
rnacentral:lncRNA from 1 species